rnacentral:lncRNA from 1 species
AUGAACGUGUACAUCCAGACCAGGGGUCUGACAUUGUGGUCACGGAAAAUUGCUCAAACUGUCAGAGAGGAAAUGACCCGUUUUCAGGAAUGUUAUGAUCAGAUGUAUGUCGACAACUGCAAGAACAAUUAUCACAUCUCCUCCAGAGUCUGGCAGGCACCAAGAGGUCUGAGAUAACCAGCCACACCUUUAGUAUAAAAGAAGCCUGACUUCUAACCCAGUGGGAUGGUUCAAUAGUCUACCACCUUCUCUGCCUGCUGCUUUCUCUAAUAAAAUCAUUAAUCCUUUGCCCCAACAACUUAUCUCUUAAUUUAUUGGCCUGUUAAGCAGUGAGGAGUAUAUUCUUGGACUGGGCAGCUUAUACACUUAACACAAGAGUGUAGACACACUUGAGAUGAACACUAAUAUAACUGAAA